UCAUGUGACAUUGGAGUUCAGAGGUCACGUCGAAGCCGACCAAUUCUAAGCGAGCUACGAUUGUUUAGAGAUUUUAGACGCUGGAGUUAGAAGUUAUCAUAACUUUGGUUAGCUAGUUUUCAUGUUAUUACGAAUAAACAGAAGUAACAUGUCAAACAAUAAGGUAGUGCACUGGAAAGAGCUUUUGAAAAGAAGAUUGGCAUCCUCCAUUAAUGCUUCCUGCAGAGGAUGAAGUUCUGCAGAAACUGCGAGAGGAGUCCAGAGCCAUCUUUCUGCAGAGGAAGAGCUUGGAGCUUCUCAACAAAUGAGGAGUUACAGAUCAUGUGGUUUCUGCUCGACAAACACCAAGUGUCACCCAUGACAGGAGAGGAGGCAAUGGUAAGCUAUGACUGUUUUCUGAAGUUUGAAGACAAAGCAGGAGUAAAGUGCAAGUGAGUACUCUGCAUAUUAGUCAUUUUGGAGCCACAAAGUUUUGUGCUAAUCUUGAGCAGAAUUAACUCUGUGUACAUUCACAUUAGCCCAAAAGCAUGUUUUUAGCUGGUGUUAAAAGGCAACAUGAAUACCGUGAUGAUGAGACAUAGUGUAUUUGUAAGCUAGGGGUUUAUUCAACAUGAGGUAAAGGCUGUUGAGUAUCAUUUCAUUCUUAAACAGAAGAUGUAGUUCAUAGGCCUUUCGCUCUACCACUCUGCUUCAAAAUAAUUAACUACAACUAAAGGGAAUUCAACAGCUUUUACUUCACGUUGCAGAGCGUUUAGAGCAGGCCUGGGCAAUUCCAGUCCUCGGGGCCUGAUUGGUGUCACACUUUUCCCCCAUCCCUAGCAAACACAGCUAGGGCUGAGUCUCCAUGACAUGGCCAGACAGGGUUACCGCUGCGAGUCUGUAAGCACUCUCACUACUACUAUACUUUCAGACCAAAAGCUUGUGUUGGUGGCUCCUUACUGAAAUAGGGAUAUCCCUUCCCUCCUUACUUUCUCAUGAUUCCAAUUGAGGUUGCCCAUUUGCACCUUCCAGAGUUGUGAAAGAUGAUAUGUACUAUGACCUUGAGGCAGGAACCACCCUCUUGUGAAGCAUCUCUGGUUACAGUAAAUGUUUUUCUUCACUGUGACAUCAUGUUUUUCUCAGUGACCCUUUUACCUUUUGGAUAACCUUUCUGUAUUGCUGUCUUUUCCAGCAAAGAGACAAAUGUUAUGACUUUUGGGGUGUAAAUUGUCCAAGUAGCCCCAGAUUCGUGCACCUCCAUCACUUGGUUGCGUAGUUGCCAUUGUUAUCAACAUUUUACAGACACUGCAGCCAUGUUGAUGCCCAAAAGUAGAAUGGGAGCUAAUGAAUAUUUGCCUAGAUUACAUUAGUGAUUUAGAAAUAAGAUUAGAUGACAUUGCUAAAGUAGGAAAAAACUUUGUCACCAUCAUCAUGUUGUUAAAUUUACUUUAGACAGAUGGCAAUGUUGUCAUUAACUAGCAAAGUUCCUCAAAAAUAGCUUGCAAUGCUAACGGUAGUGCACUAAAAAUUUGGUGGUCUCCCCGCAAUCCUAGCUAGCUAGCUAACGUUAUACUGCAAAUAAAGUCAAUCUGGCAACAUCAAAAUGAUGACCAAAGGUUUUCCUAGUAAUAAUUUGCCUUCUUUUAGAAAUGUCAUUGUGUUUUCAAAGUUUAGUAAUGCAUUAGACCAAAUCUUCAUCAUCGCCCAUUGAGGAUGCAUUGAGUAGAAUGUUCAGUUGGCCAUCAGUCCUAAAACAAAUGUUCAAAACGAUAUUGUGACAAUGUGCAACCCAUAAAUAGGUUGAACACCAGGCUGUUUGGAAUUUAGGUUGGAUUGAGUUGGUAUGUGUGUUGUCUUGUUAUGUGACAGGAAGUGGAGAACUACAUUUUAAAAUUGAUCCCCACACUCCAUCAGCUGGAUGGCCUGGAGACGUCCUUCUAUUCCUUCUAUGUCUGCACCGCUGUCCGCAAGUUCUUCUUCUUCCUGGAUUCUUUACGGACUGGGGAAAUUCAAGAUUCAAGACAUCUUGGCCUGCAGUUUUUUUGGAUGUUCUACUUUAGCUGAGAGAUGAGGAGCUUUCCAAGGUGAGCCAGGAAUCCAACUGGUUCUCUGCACCCUCUGCUCUUCAAGUUUAUUGUCAAUACCUGAAUUUGGACAGGGACCACAACGGCAUGCUCAGUGAGGAGGAGCUGUCUCGCUACGGCACUGGCACUCUGACCAGCGUCUUUCUGGACUGCAUGUACCUGGAGUGCCUCACCUACGAUGGAGAAAUUGACUAUAAGACGUACGUGGACUUUGUUCUGGCUCUGGAGAACAGGAAGAAGCCUGCAGCGCUGCAGUACAUCUUCAAGCUGCUGGACAUGGGGAACAAGGGCUACCUCAAUGUCUUCACUCUCAAUUACUUCUUCAGGGUGAGAUGGACACCUUCCACAUUGGGCCAGAGAUAUAGAAGUCAAUGGAGACGGCAGACAGCGGGACCUUGCUAUCCUGCUCACUGUAUGAAAACUGUUGUCAUCUAUUAUGUAAAACAUUUAAAAAAUCCACCAGGCCAUUCAGGAGUUGAUGAAAAUCCAUGGGCAGGAGACUAUAUUCUUCUAGGAUGUCAAGGUAAAUAGACUUUGCCCCCUGUUACCAUAUUCACCAUGGAUGAAGUAACUGAAGUGUACUACUGGUUACUGUAAAAUCAGCUGGAAGUAUCCGGAAAUAAGUCUCAUCCAGACAAGGAUUUGUAUGGAGUUAACCAUAAGCCAUGGUGCUCAGUAGGUGUUCAGUGCUGCUGCUUCUGUUUCCCCAAGAUCUAAUCUGAGUUUGCUGAUACAAUAUUUAAUGCUAGCUAGGUUUCCUUCCAAUUGGUGACAGAUUUUCAUGCGAAUAUACAAAAAUGUGCAUAAAGAAAAUGUUUAUUUUCCUACCAGUGGUGUGUUUCCACCAAACAGACUUCAGUGCAUGAGAGAGUACACAAAAUUUACUUUUUGUGUAAAUUUUCAUGUACUGAAUACAAAUCUAAAGUUCAAUGUGUUUCCAUCGCACUUUCAACUCUACCAAGAGUUUUGUUACAGAAAUUGUAGCAAAUGUGCCUACUCUGGUCUUGGCACAUGCGCUCUAGCCAAAAGCUCGCAGACACAGUGUCGGUAGGCUGUGUGUGUCGGCAUUUUUAAUGCUGCGGGAGGAAGCACAUGUUCAUUCAGACAACUUUGGGAUGAGGAUAUUUUUUUGGUCCUGCAAAUUAUUUGGAAACUGUCUGCUUUGUAGGCAUUAUCCUACCUAUUGUAUUAAAUGCACCUCUUUGCGGCAUUAUUCACACACAGAAUUUGCUGCUUAAAUUUCAGUAGCGUACCUCUCCUCUCCUAGUUGGGUGUGUGAGAUCAAGAAUGCCUGGUAUGUGUGGUCUAAAUAGAGUACCACAGUAUGAGUCAUAAUACCCAUAAAACCUAGCGGUCAAACAGGGAAAUGGUUCCAAUUGUUUUUCCAUCAUUCAUUUUCCCAUAGGGAAUUUUAGAAAUUCUUGAAAUAAGGGCUGUGUUUCAUGUCGUGACGUUUUGAUAACUAAAUCUCUAGGACAAGGUGACCUUUAUCAAUAUAUUCACCUGUAUUUACCCCCCCAACAAUGAAAUGCUAAUUAGCUGCUAAUGUGGCUAUCAUAAAGAACUACAAAUUCCAUGAUGAUCUGGAUGAGACUGCCGAAUAGAGGCAAAAGUAGGAAUCUCUGGAUUAACUAUCUAAUGCUAGCUUAAUAUAGUAAUGAAGAAAUUGUUAAAAUGUCUUUGAAAUUUACAAUUCUGUGAACUGUCUUGUGCAAGUUUAAAAUUGACACUACCUAUUAGCAAAGGUGCCAGCUUGAGAUAACAUACUGGAGCUUGCAGGGAUUUGUGGUCUUGCAUGAUGUCCACUUUGAUGCUAAUUAGCAUUUUCAAAUCUGAGAUUAAAUAGAGCCUAAUAUAUUGUAUUGAGCGAGAGUUACAUGGUUAUCAAAACUUCACACCAGAGUUAGCCUACACAAAACACAGCCCUUAAUUUUAAGUCUUUCUAAAAUACCCAAUGGGAAAAAUGAAUGGUGGAAAAAUGAUUGGAAACAUUUCUCUGUUUGACCGCAAGGUUUUAUGACACCUCCACUGUGGGGCUCUAUGAAAUAAGUAAAUUCACUUAAAUAUGAAUAGGCAAUAGUUUACUUCAGUGUCUAAAUUAAUAUUGAUAAUGGAAAGAAGUGGAGUGCGCUCAACUAACUUGAGUCGAGGUGCAAUCAAAAAAUUUGGUCGCUAUUGAAAAGGUCAACAGUUAUUGGCUACCAUGGUGAGCGAGCAUUGCACCUUUUUUAUUUUCAAUAAAUAUUGAUUACCCAUUUAAUUGUCUUUGCAUGCAAAUUGUCCUCCUAAAAGGUAGGCUAUAUCCCAUAUGCAAAACGACUGUAGCUCAAGAGAAAGAUCAAGUAUUCACUCUCAUCAUUCUUGCUUUUCAAGUUCAGUAGAUAGGUGCAAGAUCAGGUGCGUGUGUGGUUAAAAUAGUAGGUAGCCUAUGCAUGGGCGGAGAAGCAUGGGGCAGUUAUCUUUCCAAGGAAAUUAACUUCUUAAACAUGAAUAGGCUAUAGUUUACAACAUUGCCUAGAAAUACACAUUGGUCACCCAUAUUUGUUUGUCUGAAAAUCGUCUCACUCUUAAAAAGCAGCCUAUCAAACGUAGCUCAAGAGAAAGUGCAAGUGUCUGCUCUCGCUCCAAACUCUGCUCUCUUCAAACUACAUCUAGCCUAUUGGCUGAUAUAGCCCAUUAAUGCCAGAUGUCCACCAGAUACAUAUGCAUUUUGUUUUGCCGAAUAUCUAGGCCGCAUUUUCCAUACUGAGACACGUGCUUCGGUUUUCAAGUAGCUAAAAGCUAGCUACA